UACGUAGGGGGCAAGCGUUGUCCGGAAUCAUUGGGCGUAAAGCGCGUGUAGGCGGCUGAGUAAGUCUGCUCUGAAAGCCCGGGGCUCAACCCCGGGAGGCGGGUGGAUACUGCUCAGCUCGAGUCCGGAAGAGGAGAGUGGAAUUCCCGGUGUAGCGGUGAAAUGCGCAGAUAUCGGGAAGAACACCCGUAGCGAAGGCGGCAUUCUGGGCCGGUACUGACGCUGAGGAGCGAAAGCGUGGGGAGCAAACAGG
rnacentral:rRNA from 1 species